AUUAAGUGUACUAGAAGUACAUUGGUAAUAAAUAUAUGCUUUAUUACAUUUUUAAGAAAUAUGCUAAACUUAAGAAUAUUUUUAAUGUAUUUAUAUUAAGUGUACUAAAAGUAUGCUGGUAAUAAAUAUAUGCAUAAUUACACUUUUAAGAAAUAUGCUAAACACAAAUGUACUUCUAGUGAAGUUUUAGUAUAUUUGGAUAAAACAUACUUUUUUCAAAACAUGAUUCAUUAAUUGUAAUAAGCUAACAUUGAACUUUCCUCAAGCCUUUCAACAUUAUAUCAUUCCGAUUGCACAAUAAGCUAUUUUUUCAAAGAUUUGCUUAAAAUCUUACUUGUUUAAUUUCAAAAUCUUACUUGUUUAAUUUCAAACAACACACGUGACACACGUGACUAAACCUGAUUGGUUGUUGUCAUAGUAACACGUCACGGUGCUAUUUGAAACUUGUUCAGUUUAGUUCAGUUGUUCACGGUGCCUGCGGUUGCUUGCAUUAAACGUAUAAACUGUUAAAUUAGAUGGCGACUCUGCAUUAAACGUAUUUAUUUAAUUAAUCGGCGAUCAUAUUUCACCAGAGGACUAAGAUAAAACAACUCGAUUUAAAAUAUGAGCAGUUUUAGUGGAUCUGACGUCGAGGGAAAAAGUAUUUCGCUUUUUGUUUGGAGAUGAACGAGAAAACACGAGGCACAGGGACAUAAAUAUGACCAACCAGAUCCCAAGUAGACAGGAACAAAUGAAGAUAUAGCGCAUAGAAAGACUUAUUCUUGGUGAUCAACUGCUAUUGACAUUUUUGAAUCGGGGCAAAUGUGGAGUGAAGAAAAACGUUUGCAACACAUCCAUUCCAGAGUGCUGUGACAGAUAAAACUGACACGCUUGAUGAGGACACAGUCAAGCUUUAAAAGCCCGUGUGAUAAAGCAGUCUUCAAUUACUACGGUGUCUGAAUUGCAAGAAGAAGUCACCCUCCACUUAAACAUGUGACAUCUAAACUGUUUUGUGUUUUAGUUCAGCUUUUUAUAGGUUUAUCUUAAGUUGGUUAAAGGCAGAGUGCACUAUUUUUGAAAGCCAAUGUUAACAUUUGAAAUUACCUAAACAAACAUGCCUCUACCCCAAUAGAAUCUGGACCUUCUUUUGAUAGAGCCACCACACACAUACGCAACCCCGGCAAGGAUGUCAGUUAGUAGACACGCCCCUUACUGCUGGUUGGCUACAAGUGUGUUUUGGUAGUCGGCCCAAUUUCCUUUUCCAAAGCGUUUUUCAAACAUUGUGCACUCCGUCUUUAAAUUGCACUUAAACAUUUUUUUUCAUUAACUUUUUAUGCAGAGAAUUACAUUAUGAUUAUUAUAUAAUCAUUGCUUAUGAAUAUUUAGUGAU